rnacentral:rRNA from 1 species
GAGUUUGAUCCUGGCUCAGAGUGAACGCUGGCGGCGUGCUUAACACAUGCAAGUCGAGCGAGAACGGGUUAUAGCUUGCUAUAAUUGUCAGCUAAGUGGCGCACGGGUGAGUAAUGUAUAGGUAAUAUGCCUCUUACUAAGGGAUAACAAUUGGAAACGAUUGCUAAUACCUUAUACUCCUUAUUAACUAAAGUUAGUAAGGGAAAGAUUUAUUGGUAAGAGAUUAGCCUGUAUUGUAUCAGUUAGUUGGUGGGGUAAUGGCCUACCAAGACUAUGACGCAUAACUGGUUUGAGAGGAUGAUCAGUCACACUGGAACUGAGACACGGUCCAGACUCCUACGGGAGGCAGCAGUGGGGAAUAUUGCACAAUGGACGAAAGUCUGAUGCAGCAACGCCGCGUGGAGGAUGACACAUUUCGGUGCGUAAACUCCUUUUAUAUAA